UGCCCCGUCGUCUAAUGGCAGGACAGCGGCCUUUGAAGCCGUUAAUCUUGGUUCGAAUCCAAGCGGGGCAU
rnacentral:tRNA from 1 species